rnacentral:tRNA from 1 species
GCCCCCGUAGCGCAACUGGAUAGCGCGUCGGACUUCUAAUCCGUAGGUUGUGGGUUCGAGUCCCACCGGGGGUGCUA